AGAGUUUGAUCAUGGCUCAGAUUGAAGCGAUGGCGGGCAGGCCUAACACAUGCAAGUCGAGCGGUAGCACAGAGAGCUUGCUCUCGGGUGACGAGCGGCGGACGGGUGAGUAAUGUCUGGGAAACUGCCUGAUGGAGGGGGAUAACUACUGGAAACGGUAGCUAAUACCGCAUAAUGUCGCAAGACCAAAGUGGGGGACCUUCGGGCCUCAUGCCAUCAGAUGUGCCCAGAUGGGAUUAGCUAGUAGGUGGGGUAACGGCUCACCUAGGCGACGAUCCCUAGCUGGUCUGAGAGGAUGACCAGCCACACUGGAACUGAGACACGGUCCAGACUCCUACGGGAGGCAGCAGUGGGGAAUAUUGCACAAUGGGCGCAAGCCUGAUGCAGCCAUGCCGCGUGUGUGAAGAAGGCCUUCGGGUUGUAAAGCACUUUCAGCGGGGAGGAAGGCGAUAAGGUUAAUAACCUCAUCGAUUGACGUUACCCGCAGAAAGAAGCACCGGCUAACUCCGUGCCAGCAGCCGCGGUAAUACGGAGGGUGCAAGCGUUAAUCGGAAUUACUGGGCGUAAAGCGCACGCAGGCGGUCUGUCAAGUCGGAUGUGAAAUCCCCGGGCUCAACCUGGGAACUGCAUUCGAAACUGGCAGGCUAGAGUCUUGUAGAGGGGGGUAGAAUUCCCAGGUGUAGCGGUGAAAUGCGUAGAGAUCUGGAGGAAUACCGGUGGCGAAGGCGGCCCCCUGGACAAAGACUGACGCUCAGGUGCGAAAGCGUGGGGAGCAAACAGGAUUAGAUACCCUGGUAGUCCACGCCGUAAACGAUGUCGAUUUGGAGGUUGUGCCCUUGAGGCGUGGCUUCCGGAGCUAACGCGUUAAAUCGACCGCCUGGGGAGUACGGCCGCAAGGUUAAAACUCAAAUGAAUUGACGGGGGCCCGCACAAGCGGUGGAGCAUGUGGUUUAAUUCGAUGCAACGCGAAGAACCUUACCUGGUCUUGACAUCCACAGAACUUAGCAGAGAUGCUUUGGUGCCUUCGGGAACUGUGAGACAGGUGCUGCAUGGCUGUCGUCAGCUCGUGUUGUGAAAUGUUGGGUUAAGUCCCGCAACGAGCGCAACCCUUAUCCUUUGUUGCCAGCGGUUAGGCCGGGAACUCAAAGGAGACUGCCAGUGAUAAACUGGAGGAAGGUGGGGAUGACGUCAAGUCAUCAUGGCCCUUACGACCAGGGCUACACACGUGCUACAAUGGCAUAUACAAAGAGAAGCGACCUCGCGAGAGCAAGCGGACCUCAUAAAGUAUGUCGUAGUCCGGAUUGGAGUCUGCAACUCGACUCCAUGAAGUCGGAAUCGCUAGUAAUCGUAGAUCAGAAUGCUACGGUGAAUACGUUCCCGGGCCUUGUACACACCGCCCGUCACACCAUGGGAGUGGGUUGCAAAAGAAGUAGGUAGCUUAACCUUCGGGAGGGCGCUUACCAUACUGUAUCCACGUCCGG
rnacentral:rRNA from 1 species